CUCGAACAACCCCAGUGGCCACUAACCAGGAACACCUGCUGGUUAGCCGGAACGGGAGGGAGGAGAAGAUGGGCAUCUCCAGCGGAAUUCCAGCGCGGAAUAUGGAAGUGUUUAAAGGAAGACCUUCCCCAGCUCAGGGUGAUUCACAGGCCUAGAUGACCUGUUUGAUGCCGGAGCUGGAUUUGAUUUGAAUCCUGGACUGUGAAGCCAUGGAGGGAUGGAUCUGUGGAUCUGGAUCACACUCAGAUCACUCCACUGCUUUUCCUGAAGCCACGGCAGGAGCUGUGCUGGAAAUGGUGCCUUGGGAGUCUGCAUCCCAGGUCAGGAGACCAGACAUCAAAUCCCUGGUGCAUCUUGGCAGCUGGGAGCGCUCCAGCAAACCAGGAUGCUCCAGCAGACCCUGACAAAGCUGCUGCUGGGAGCACAUCACCAGCAGGGUAAAUGACAACCCAGCCCUGGCUGAAGCCAAAGCUCCACAGUCCAUGUGAAAACCCACCUGCAAUUCUGCAACUGCCUGUGAAGAAGUGAGCCUGCUCCUCACAAAAUGUAUUUUAGCUGCCCUGCUUGGGGAUUCCAGUCCCUGUGUCUGGGUUGUAUCUGUGCAUCCAUCUGUCAAAUGGGAUCAAUGAGCCAAACUCUCCCUAAAUAUUAACUUCCUACAUGUUUCAUAAAAUAGGCAGAGGCAGAAAUUUGGCUUGAUGUCCUCCUGAAAGGGAAAGCUGGAUUGCCUGUCUGUGCUGUAAAAAUCAUACACAAAUCCACAGGGCAUCAAAUGAGGCUCACAGCACAAAUCCUUGAUUUUUCUCAUAAAACUAUGGGUUUCAAAUGUGCUGUAAAACAAAGGGAGUGAAACACCUGCAAUGCUCAGGCUGGUCCAGGCUGUGAGGUCAGGCAGUUUUUUGGGGUUGCAGGACCCUAAACUGGCAUGAGCAGGGAUUUGUGGGCACCCCAAAAGGGCAAAGCUGUAUUCUCUUCUCUGGAAGAUGCAUUUACAGAGAUUCAUUUUAAAUAAGAGACUCAUAAAAGAAACCUAUAGAUGAUAACAAACAGAGGCUCAGCUGUGUCACGCCCUGGAAUGGAAAUGGGAAGAGCUGCAAAGGUUCAACAUCUCUGAAAAUCUGAUCACUGAGUGUUUCUAGUCAGCUUCCCCUGCCAAAGCAAAAUGAAAUUUUCCAAAUCUCUGCCAAACUCUGACGCUCAUGAGCAGCUCCUCAAGUAGGUUUGGAUGAUGUAACCAAUAAUCACGAAUCCCUCCUCCACUUUCUAAAUUACAUCUGGUUGGGACGAAUUUUUAUGUGGAUAACACAACCAAAAUCUGAAUGGCUCUGUUUGGUCUAAAUCACAUUAUGCAUUUGCAUUAUGACAUAUAAAAUUUAGGAAAAAAGGGAAUUUUGCCUCAUGAAGGUGAAGAGGCCCUGGCACAGGUGCCAGAGAAGCUGUGGCUGCCCCUGGAUCCCUGGAAUGUCCAAGACCAGGUUGGACAGGGCUUGGAGCACCCUGGGAUAGUGAAAGGUGUCCCUGCCCAUGGUGAAGGUGGCACUGGUUGUGUGACCCCCAAAUAGCUGGAGAAAUAAAUAAAAAAUAAAAAUCCUCA
ensembl:lncRNA